GACGAACGCUGGCGGCGCGCCUAACACAUGCAAGUCGAACGAGAGAUGAGGAGCUUGCUCUUCAGAUCGAGUGGCGAACGGGUGAGUAACGCGUGAGGAACCUGCCUCAAAGAGGGGGACAACAGUUGGAAACGACUGCUAAUACCGCAUAAGCCCACGGCUCGGCAUCGAGCAGGGGGAAAAGGAGCAAUCCGCUUUGAGAUGGCCUCGCGUCCGAUUAGCUAGUUGGUGAGGUAACAGCCCACCAAGGCGACGAUCGGUAGCCGGACUGAGAGGUUGAACGGCCACAUUGGGACUGAGACACGGCCCAGACUCCUACGGGAGGCAGCAGUGGGGAAUAUUGCACAAUGGGGGAAACCCUGAUGCAGCGACGCCGCGUGGAGGAAGAAGGUCUUCGGAUUGUAAACUCCUGUUGUUGAGGAAGAUAAUGGCGGUACUCAACAAGGAAGUGACGGCUAACUACGUG
rnacentral:rRNA from 1 species